CGUAGGCGGGUCUUUAAGUCAGGGGUGAAAUCCUGGAGCUCAACUCCAGAACUGCCUUUGAUACUGAAGAUCUUGAGUUCGGGAGAGGUGAGUGGAACUGCGAGUGUAGAGGUGAAAUUCGUAGAUAUUCGCAAGAACACCAGUGGCGAAGGCGGCUCACUGGCCCGAUACUGACGCUGAGGCACGAAAGGCGUGGGAGCAAACA
rnacentral:rRNA from 1 species